GAGGAUCAGUUUAGUAUACAUUAAGUAAAGAUUUCAACAGUUUGCACCCCCAUAGAAACACAAAGUGAAAUAUAUUGUUUGAGUACUCAUUAUAGCAUUAAAUCUCAAUGCACAGCACAUUAAGGACAGAGAUCCUACAUGAGGAAUAAGUGCACAGUGACUCCUGUUGUUGACUUUACCAAUUGACACUCCUGUCUAUGGCAUCAGUAGUCUCUCUAUGCUCCAGUCAUGAGUUUCCAAGGCUAUGGAAGCCCUCUGAGUUCUCCGAUUCUUAUCUUGUUUAGACAAGGUCAUAGUCAAAGUGGAGGUUCUCUCCUCCCUUCAGAGAAAGGUACCUCCUUCUUUGAAGACCUGUUCUUUCCACUGGGAUCUCACUCACAGAGAUCUUUUGCCAGAGUGUCUUGGCUUUCCAUGCCUGAAAUACUCUCAUGGGCUUUUCAGCCAGAUCGGAAUGCCUUUAGGGCUGAUUCUGAGGCCAGAGUGCUAUUUAGGACAUCUGCCAUUCUAUGAGUCUGCUGAGUAUCUCACUUCCCAUGUUGAAUCACUCUCCCCUUUAUUUAUUCUAUUGGUUAGUGUUAGCAGGUACUAGACUUGUUUAUGUGAUCCCUUUGACUCUUAGUCCUUUCAUUAUGAUCAAUUGUGAACUGAAAUUGAUCACUUGGAAUAGUGAGAUGGCAUUGGUACAUGCCACCUCGAUGGGAUUGAAUUGGAAUCCCCUGGUAUGUUUCUAACUCUACCACUUGAACUUUUUGAAGACCCCCCUUCAUUGCAUGGAUUUCAAAUUUUUUCUUGUCAUAAUAGAAACUUAUCUUUUUUUUUUAUUUUUUAUUUUUGACAGGCAGAGUGGACAGUGGGAGAGAGACAGAGAGAAAGGUCUUCCUUUUGCCGUUGGUUUACCCUCCAGUGGCCGCCGUGGCCGGCGCGCUGCGGCCGGCGCACCACGCUGAUCCGAUGGCAGGAGCCAGGUACUUAUCCUGGUCUCCCAUGGGGUGCAGGGCCCAAGCACUUGGGCCAUCCUCCACUGCACUCCCUCAUUCUGCUUUUCCAUGAACUUUUUGAAGUCCCCUUGGAGAUAAGGAAUAUGCCAAUAUUUUUUGUACUGUUAUUUAGGUAUUUAUGUGUGUGUAUUUGAGCUUUUUAAAAAUAAAAAAAUACUUUCUGUGGGAACUAUUGUUAGAAAGUAUUAUUUUUGUGUCCACUUUUUAUGUUUCUUUGUCUCCCUGCAUCUGGUUACUCUGGGAAGGGAAUGUUCUGCUUUGCCGUGCUAGUUUCAUCCACUGUGCGGAGUUGAAGUGUGAGGACUUUGACUCUGUGUUUCUCAGCAGGGGAUCAGAAUGGUUCCCAGACAGCAAGCUUGGAUUCCUAGGAUACAGUGUCCUUUGGCAUUCUUCUUGGAGUGAUAUGUGAUGAGACAGCAGGGGACUUCUAGAAGGUCUCGGUUCUUAUUCCCUGUAACUGCAAGCGUGGGUUCCAGAAGGCCAGUGAAGAAAUGUGGUAAAUUCCUUACGGUUCAGGAAAAGGCUUCAAAGAUCCCUGGGCUGUGUGGGAGAGAACUUCCUUGAGACUUUUUACAUGCAGGUCUGUUAAAGCCAUCAUGUCAGUGUGUUUUAUAGCAUGGUAUCUGCCUCGUGUUGUUCAUGGAUUUUGGCAGCCUGGGCAUGGUGGCCGUCCAUUGUGAACCACUUGCAAGGGCUGUUCUUGGGUGUCUCCCACACAGGAAAAGAUGGGAGGGAGAAAAGAAGGGGCAAUUCAGUGUCCCAUAAAUAAAUUUUAUUUCUUCAAAGAUAAGAUAGAACUUGAGUUACAACUUAUAAUUGUCACAUACCUUUUGAAAAAGUGACUGGUACGCAACAUACAUUGUUAUUAAACAAUUGUUAGGUGGAGGAGGAGAAGGUGGGAUACUAUGAGAUGCUUUAAAAUGGAGUUUUAAAUUAAAAGUGCAGACACAUUUAAUGGAUGACAUUAAUUGAAGACCUUCUGUGUGCCUCUUUUAGUAAAAUUACCUGGUGUUUCAUUACUAUUAUUUUUUCUUCAGAAAUUCAAGAAUAUUUUAAUGACUCUAAUAAUCUUUUUAAUGUUUCUAUAAGGGGACGAGGUCCAUAUUUUAUGUUUGGGGGAUUAGAAUUCUGGUAAGGGACUUUGUCUUCCAGUUUUUCCUCACUGUAAGAGCAGUGACACAGCCGAAUGACAAUUGAUGAUGAUUUGUAGGGGGCAGAUUAAAUCUGCUGUCAUUGAACAAAUAUGCAUGAGCACCCACUGUGUAUCAGGCACUGUGCCAAGGCAGAUAAAAACACCAGUGGUGGCAUUCCAUAGAGUCUGCUGAGUGACUGUCAGUGACACAAGAACACAUGCUUGGAGGAACUUGGCUGUUUCCCGCUGUGAUGGUCUCUGUGGAUGGACACUACUCUCUUUUUAUGGUAAACUCAUGGACAAAAAAGCUCUAAACAAUCCCUUCUAGGACUAUUCCAAUUUUGUCUCAUACGAUUUAUUGGGGGAAAUGAAUUCCAUGUGUUCAGUAAAGUUCCUGAGCUACCUCCUUUCUGGCUCAUUGAUAGUAUUUUGGGAUUUGGUAUCUGUGUUUAUGGUCAACAAAUGUAUACUUUUUGUGACUUUUAUGUCUUGUUAACACAUACACCUCUUCAACUAUUCUGAAUUUCAGAUGUGAAAAUCUCUGGCUUCAUAGUCCAUGGUAAUUUUCUUCUUCAACUUUUGUAGCAGAGGUUGACAAUCAUGUAUACUGUCAGCUUUCCUUCCCAAUUCUGUUUCCUAUGGAAAACUCCCAUUAGGAAUUAGAUGAGAGAAACCUCUCUUUCUUUAAAUGCAAUAUGUAAUUGUUUAGAAUUGCCCUUGAGAAGUUCUAGAUGACCCCUACGGCUAAAGCAUCAGUUGUGGAGAUGAGCUAGUGGCAUCCUUGUGAAAGAUUACCUAUGGUUACAGAGCUGUGACUAUCCUCUGGGAUUCUAUACCAUUGAUUAUUUUAAUUUCAACACCAUUGAUCAAUUUAGUUUCUUACAUCAGCCGUGCACAGAAAGUCUUGAUGGACAGUAUGCAAACUGCAUUCUCAAUAAAUUUGCCUUCCUGUCAUCAAUAACCCAAGGUCAUUUGAAUGUACUCAGUCAUUUCUUCCUCACUACUAUGCUUUUUAAUAGCUUACCUUAGAAGGAGAAAUUGUUACAGAACAAGAAGUUGGGCUUUAAUUGAGCCAUGCAGACCAGAAUGGACUUAGGCAAUCACUGAGAUUGCUUUCUUGCCUCCUUAUUUUAAGACUUUAUUUCAAAUUGACAGUUCCACAUAGAGUUAUGAGUUUCAAAAAUUUUUAUUUUUUGACUUAUUAUGUUUUAAUAUCUUGAUAUUUUCCCUUCUAUAUUUACUAUCAUUUGAACAUACUCCAUUCAAGAAAUGUGCCAUUAUUUAAUUCUGUGAUGUUGGGCAUUUUUUUCAUUGUUUACUACAAUUACUGCAUUGAUAUGAAUAUUCCUGCAUCUAAAACUUUCAAUAGACUGAUGACAAUUUCCUUAGGUCAAAUUCUUGGACAUGGAGUUAUUGUAUCAAAGUAGACACAUUCCUAAGAUGUCUUAUACAUGCUGUCAAGCAUUAUUAUGUGAGAAAACAUCUUUUACCCUCUAUAAAACUGAGCAUUACUAAAAACCGUUUGGAAAAAAUUAAAUGAAAUCUCAUUGUUUCUAUUUCUAUUUCAUUAUUUUAAGCUUGAAAAGCUUCAUAUAAUUUUGGUUUCUAAUUUUUAAAAGAUUUAUCUAUUUUUAAACAGUGAAAUAUUUAAAGAUAAAACUAUACAUAUUUGUGUGGUGUUUUGAUCCAUGUAUAUAUUGUAUAAUAUGUAAUCACUGUAAUGUAUCUAUUUGUAAUAGAUACUUAUGUAAUAUUUUAUGUUUAUUCAUAGUUUCUUUUCAACUUUUAUUUAAUAAAUAUAAAUUUCCAAAGUACAACUUUCUGAUUAUAGCGGCUUUAUCCCCCAUAACCACCCUCCCACCUGCAACCAUCCCAACUCCCACUCCCUCUUCCAUCCCAUUCUUCAUCAAGAUUCAUCUUCAAUUAUCUUUAUAUACAGAAGAUCAAUUUAAUAUAUAUUAAGUAAAGAUUUCAACAGUUUGCACCCACACAGAAACACAAGUAUAAAGUACUGUUUGAGUACUAGUUAUACCAUUAAUUCACAUAGUACAGCACAUGAAGGACAGAGCUCCUACAUGGGGAGUAAGUGCAUAGUGACUCCUGUUGUUGACUUAACAGUUGACAUUCUUAUUUAUAAUGUCAGUAAUCACCCAAGACUCUUAUUUUUAAUUUUUUUUUGACAGAGUGGAAAGUGAGAGAGAGAGACAGAGAGAAAGGUCUUCCUUUACCGUUGGUUCACCCUCCAAUGGCCACCACGGCCGGUGCAACACGCUGAUCCAAAGCCAGGAGCCAGGUGCUUCUCCUGGUCUCCCAUGUGUCACCCGAGACUCUUGUCAUGAGCUGCCAAGGCUAUGGAAGCCUCUUGAGUUCGCCAACUCCGAUCUUGUUUAGACAAGGCCAUAGCCUAAGUGGAAGUUCUCUCCUCCCUUCAGAGAAAGGAUAGAGCACAAGCCAGGCCAUAAAGCAAGUCUCAGCAGAUUCAAAGGAGUUGAAAUCAUACCAUGCAUCUUCUCUGACCACAGUGGAGUGAAGCUGGAGAUCAACAACGUGAGAGUGUCUAGAGCAUAUCAAACCAUGGAGCCUCAGCAACACGCUCCUGCAUGAACAGUGGGUCACAGGAGAAGCCAGAAGAGAAGUCAAAACACUGUUGAGGAACAGGUUUUUAAUACUGUUUGUUGAGAUCUUUAGUUAAUCUUCUGUGUAUAAAGUUAAUCGAAAAUAGAUCUUAGUAAAAAAUAAGAAUGGGAACUGCAAAAGGAAGAGGAAGAAGGUUGGGAGUAGGGCUGGGCUGGGAGAGUGGGUACAGUGGGAAGAAUCGCUAUCACUCUGUUCCUAAAGUUGUAUUUAUGAAAUGCACGAAGUUUGUAUACCAUCAAUAAAAGGUUUCUGGGAAAAAAAACAAAACAAAAAUAAGUUUAAAUAAUUUUCUAGCCUUUAAUAGAAAACCUAAUCCAUUUUAAAAAUGGCUUCUUUGUAGAGAAACAUAAUAAAGGUAUAACAUUUAAUUUUAUUAAUUAAAUUGUGUACAUAUAAGAGAAACACAUUUUUUAAACUUUUAUUUAGUAAAUAUAAAUUUCCAAAGUACAGUUUAUGGAUUACAAUGGCUUCCCCCCAUAACUUCCCUCCCACUUGCACCCCUCCCAUCUCCCGCUCCCUCUCCCAUUCCAUACACAUCAAGAUUCAUUUUCAAUUAUCCUUAUAUACAAAGGAUCAGUUUAGUAUAUAUUAAGUAAAGAUUUCAUCAGUUUGCACCCACACAGAACAUAAAGUGUAAAAUACUGUUUCAUUACUAGUUAUGGCAUUACUUCACAUUGGACAAUACAUUAAGGACAGAUCCCACAUGAAAAGUAAGUACACAGUGACCCUGUUGUUGACUUAACAAUUUGACACUCUUGUUUAUGGCGUCAGAAAUCUCCCUAGGCUCUAGUCAUGAGUUGCCAAGGCUAUGGAAGCCUUUUGACUUCGUCGACUUCGAUCUUAUUCAGACAAGGUCAUAUAGUCAAAGUGGAAGUUCCCUCCUCCCUUCAGAGAAAGGUAUCUCCUUCUUUGAUGGCCCUGUUCUUUCUACUGGGAUCUCACUUGCAGAGAUCUAUCAUUUAGUUUUUUUUUUGCCAGAGUGUCUUGGCUUUCCAUGUCUAAAAUAAUCUCAUGGGCUCUUCAGUCAGAUCCGAAAGCUUUAAGGGCUGAUUCUGAGGCCAGAGUGCUAUUUAGGGCAUCUGCCAUUUUAUGAGUCUGCUGUGUCCAACUUCCCAUGUUGGAUUGUUCUCUCCCUUUUUGAUUCUAUCAGUUAGUAUUAGCAAACACUAGUCUUGGUUGUGUGAUCCCUCUGACUCUUAGACCUAUCAGUGUGAUCAAUUGUGAAUUGAAAUUGAUCACUUGGACUAGUGAGAUGGCAUUGGUACAUGCCACCUUGAUGGGAUUGUAUUGGAAUCCCCUGGCACGUUUCUAACUGCACCAUUUGGGGCAAGUCCGAUUGAGCAUUUCCCAAAUUGUCCUCCCUCUCUUAUUCCCACUCUUCAGCUAAAUCCAAACACCCAAGAAUAAUUGUGUGUUAACCACAGAGUUCAACCAAUAGUAUUAAGUAGGACAUAAAAAUACUAAAAGGGAUAAAAUAUUAAGUUAUUCCUCGACAGUCAGGACAAGGUCUGAUCAAGUCAUGGUUUCUCAUAGUGUCCAUUUCACUUCAGCAGGUUUACUUUUUGGUGCUUGGUUAGUUGUCACUGACCAGGGAGAACAUAUGAUAUUUGUCCCUUUGGGACUGGCUUAUUUCACUCAGCAUGAUGUGUUCCAGAUUCCUCCAUUUUGUUGCAGAUGACCAGAUUUCAUUGUUUCUGACUGCUGUAUAGUAUUCUAUAGAGUAUAUGUCCCAUAAUUUCUUUAUCCAAUCUACUGUUGAUGGACAUUUAGGUUGAUUCCAGGUCUUAGCUAUUGUGAAUUGAGCUGCAGUAAACAUUAGGGUGCAGACAGCUUUUUUGUUUGCCAAUUUAAUUUCCUUUGGGUAAAUUCCAAGGAGUGGGAUGACUGGGUUGUAUGGUAGGGUUAUCUUCAGGUUUCUGAGGAAUCUCCAGACUGACUUCCAUACUGGCUUGACCAGUUUGCAUUCCCACCAACAGUGGGUUAGUGUCCCUUUUCCCCACGUCCUUGCCAGCAUCUGUUGUUGUUAGAUUUCUGAAUGUGAGCCAUUCUGACCGGGGUGAAGUGAAACCUCAUUGUGGUUUUGAUUUGCAUUUCCCUGAUUGCUAGUGAUCUUGAACAUUUUUUCAUGUGCCUUUUGGCCAUUUGGGUUUCCUCUUUUGAAAAAUGUCUAUUGAGGUCCUUGGCCCAUCUCUUAAGUGGGUUGUUUGUUUUGUUGUUGUGGAGUUUCUUGAUUUCUUUGUAGAUUUUGGUUAUUAACCAUUUAUCGGUUGCAUAGUUUGCAAAUAUUUUUUCCCAUUCUGUCGGUUGCCUCUUCACUCUCCUGUUUCUUUUGCAGUACAGAAACUUCUCAAUUUGAUGCAAUCCCAAUUGUUAAUUUUGGUUUUGACUGCCUGUGCUUCCGGGGUCUUUUCCAAGAAGUCUUUGCUGGUGCCUAUAUCUUGCAGGGGAGAAACACAUUUUUUAUAAGGAAAAUCAGCUUUCGAAGCACUCUCAAAGAGUGUAUGUGGAGAAGGUAAAUGGGAGAGGAAGGCAAUGGACAACUGAAACAAAUAAAAAUGAUGGUUAUGUUUAGAGAAGAGGAGGAUUUAACUGGAGAGGACGUUCCAACAAAUCUCAAAAUCUCUCUUUAUGAAGGCGAAUGGCAGGUAGGUUUUGUUCCUAAAACUAAUUGUUACUGUAUGCACACUUUUCUGUUUCUCUCUCUCCCUCUCUCACAUGCACACAGACAUGCACACACAUGCCCACAUAUAGAAACACAUGUGGUAAGUGACAUGGGAAAGCCAACAAGAAAUAGGAUGAUUUCUAUUUCAGGACCCCAGAAAAAGCUCUGGAGAUGCAUCCAAUUCUUCCAAAAGCAAAAGUUUGAUAAGUAGGAAUGAAAAUGAGAUUAAUUGAUCUUUACAAGGAAGACUUAACCCACAGAUAUUUUUUCCUCCACUCGUGGCACAACCAGGAAUUAUGGUUUCCAACAGACCUCUAUGCUGGUUUCCUUUAUUUAAAAAUAGAACUAAAUCUUUAUUAAGAUAAAAUGGCUUUCAGAAUGGGCAUGCAGCUAAUUGGACAUCUGUAUGCUACAUGCAAGAGAUAUAGUCAAGCAAAAAGAUGUGGAAAGUUUGAGAAUUUAAUGUCCACCAAGGAAAUACCAACACCAGGAGAGCAAGAGUGGGUAUAUUAAUAUUACAUAACUUGGAAUUCAAGAUGAGGCUCCUAAAAUGAGGAGAGAAGGGUAUAUGUUUAUGGAAGAGCUAUAAUUCAGUGAAGACAAUCUUUAUAAGUAUCUUUAUACUGAAUAAUAUGGCAUCUACAUUUAAAAUUUUUGUAUUAUUAUUGUAAGACAUCUAAAUUUAAGUAUGUGGGAGGAUGUGUGCUAUCUAUCCUGUGCAGAUACUACAUCUUUUGACAUAAGGGGUUGUGGUAUCUGAAGAUUUUCAUGCCCACAGGGGUCCUGAGGCUAGUCCCCUAUAGUUACUGAGAGAUGACCUUAUUUAUAUAGUUUUAAAGUUUUAGAAUAAAUGUCAAGUUUUACCUGUUGUUUUGUGAACUCUCCAGUAAACGUUAGUUUUGAUUAUAGUGUGUAGGUUACUUUUAAAUUCAAGCGUCACAGUGAUUUUUGGGUCUUCCCCCACAAAACCAGCAUGCAUUUAAAGAAAGAUUAAUAAUCACACACACAGCAUAUCUACACACAAUUCAGGAAUGUAAUUAUUAGGAACAUAAUAUAAUUUUUGGCAUAAACCAAUCUUUGCUUAGGUAAUGUAGAUGUCUUAACUUCCCACUUUCACAAUCUGGGUUUAAUAGUGUUUACACCACAGGCAAGAUUCUUUAUAUUCUAUUAGAAAUUUUAGUUUUACUUUGGAGUUUAGUUUUGAAGUAUUUGAAAUUGUUUUAGUACCAUUGUGGUUUAAAAGCUAUUUUCUUUUUCUGCUGAGAUUCAAAGUGAGAGUAUAAAGAUAUCUAUUAUUCUCAAAUCUUUACUGUCCUUCCUGCCUUAGAAGGCUUGCUUCCAAUUCUGUGCACUGAGCAAAAGCUAUUAUGUUUAUCUCAUAUGUUUUCUCAAUCAGUGAUAUUCAUUUACUGCUUAUUGUUUUAUAGAAAAUUUUGACGCACCUGAGGAAUACAAAGAAGUUUAAGACAUGUUUUAACCCUUAUUGAGCUUAUAUUCUAAUAGAGGAGAGACAAAUACAAAGGGAUUUCAAAAUAUCCAUGGAGAAAUAAAAUUAAAAGAUAAUGGGAAUUUUCCAUGACCUUUUUGAAGCUCCUACUUAUGUCAAAUUGUAAGCAGUCAUAGAUCUGCAGUGGAAGGACUAUACUUGAUUGUCAGCUGAGAAGUCAGAGAGUAAUGAGAGAGUUUGUUCUGUAAUAUCAGGUCACAAAUUAUGUUGAAGUAAAAAGUACUCUAUGUAAAAGACCAUCUCUUAAUAUGGGAGGAUUUAAAAAAAAGUUUGGUAUGUUUUGUUUGCAAGGUGGGGAGGGACACACACAGUCGGACACACACACACACACACACACACACUACAUCCACCAGUUCAUUCCCCAAAUGCUAACAAGGAAUGGAUAGCACUGAGACUACAGUUGGCAGCUGGGAACUCAAUCCAGGUCUUCACACGGUGACAGAACCCAAUCACUUGAGCCACCACUGCACCCUCUGGGACUGCAUUAGCAGGAAGUUGUAAUGAGGAGGCGGAGCCAGCUACUCUGCUAUGGGAUCUGGUAUCUCAAGCAGCGUCUUAACUGCGAGGUCCGAUGCUCGCUUUGACUGUUUUGUUUAACUUUGGGAUGGCUAUAUAGGUUCUAGCUUGGCAGUUUUAUAAAAAUCUGGAAAUCUGUGUGUCUGUGGGGCUGGGAGUGGGGGGAAAAGCUGCAGAUGGACAGAAAAAGGCGACAUCCUGAAGCUUGCUGACAGUGCCUGGCUUUAGGAACUGAAUUUCAGUGUAACUUAGGCCUUUUCUGUUACGCAGUGGGUUGCAAAACACCAGAAGAAUUAAAAUGGCACAUUUGCUAACAAAGGCAUACUGGUGGGGCAUUAGGGAAAUUCUAAAACAAUGUUCCAGAGUACAUACUUGGUGGUCAAUUAAGCCAUCAGUAUUUAGGCUAAAUCCAAAUUAUAAGCAUUAUACACCUUCUCCCCCAUAGACUUGGUCAGUACAGUUAAAGGAUUUUUUAAAAAUCCUUUUAGAAACUUGGAGCACAUCAGGCUCAAAACACAAUCUUUGAGUCCUCUAGGCAUGGCCUGAGCCCUUUCCUGAAAUUUUCAUCCUUACAUUCCUGCGUACCUUGUGCUGAGGUAGAUAGCAGGAACCACAUAAAUGGCACUUUAGAAGGAGUGGCACUUUAGCCUAGCAUUUCCGAUGCUCAUGUUCCACACUGGAGUUUGACUCCUGCCUCUGGCUCCUGACUCCAGCUUCUCACUGUGCACACCCUGAGAGGCAGCAGUGAUGGUUCAAGUCACUGGAUUUCUGUGACCCACAUGUGAGAUUGCGUUGCUGGCUGCUGGCUUUGGCCUGGCCUAGCCCUGACCAUUGUGAGCAUUUUGGGAGUAAAUCAGCAGAUGGGAGAUCUCUCUCUCCCAACCCACCCUCUGUCUUUCUCUCUCUGCUUUUCAGAUACAAAGCAUUUUUAAAAAUAUCUGAGCCAUGUUGAGAUUUUGGAGAAACUGUUACUUGUAAAUAAUAGAGUAUCUGUCAUAAAACAAUUAUAAACAAAUAUAAAUGCAUGUUCAACUUACAGAUUGUGUUAAGUUGAUAAAUAUUCAGAAUUCUAUUUUCUCUCUAUCUCUUUUUUAACUAUCAUCACAGAUUGCAUGAUGGAGACCUGCUUAUGGUGUUUUAGUUUUGUCUUUAGAAAAUAUAUUGCAUCGACUCAAAGCUCUAAAAAGAUAGAGCUUCAAUUGACAACCUCACAAAUUGUAGAUAUGCUUAGUAAGAAAAAGUUAUGGUCGGCAACAUUUUGAUUUUGCUUGAGCUUUGAUUUUCUGAUUUGGCUAUAUUCAGAACUCUUAAAGCCUACUAGACAGGUACGCUGAACGUGUUGAAUUAACUUAAUGGAUUGAUUGCAAGUCCAGGCACAAGCCUUGAGGGGCUACGUGUCUGGGUGACUGUGGCAGAUCUCUUCCCUGGCAUGCAACCGGCACAAUGCAGGCAUGCUGUUAGUGGGGAAAAUGGCCUUGCAAUUGAUUUCCCUAAUUCCUACCACUUGCUUAGAGUUCACAUGUUCAAGAAAACAAAAACGAACCUCCAGGGUCCUUGAUGAGUUCUGUGUGGAUGUGCCUGGACAUUUACAGCCACUGAGUCAUGUCUGAUGUCUGUGCAGCAAGGAGUGAAUGCAUAGCUCACCAGUGGAGUUUCAUUAGCCAGCUGACUAACCUACUGUUCUUCCUAGAACAGCCUGCCGUGCGUGUUGUAACAAGGCAAUGAUUAAAAAUAUGAUUAAUUACUUUUUGGUAGAAAAUGCUCAUGGUGUUCUGUUCAAAAAGUGACAUGACUCAAUGCUGACUUUUUGGUGUUGAUAAAAUAAGUGACAUUGUCCUAAUAAUGUACCAAGCCCGUGGAAGACUCCCAGCCACUGCUGUAUCAAGCUGUUAAGAAUGGAAUCCUGGAAUCAGUGACAGCAGCAUGAUCUGUGAUUAGCUUCAAGAUGACAUUUUUCAUCAAUGCACAUUCCAGUACAGGGUGACAUUAUUUAUGGAUAUUUGUAGUGGUGACAUUUUAUGAGCACAUGAAUACUUAUCAGGAAUUAUUGUCCACGUUAAUGAAAUGUAAAUCAAUUGAACCCCAAGCCAACCUUAACAAGCUAGUGCUGCUUGCAUUGAAUAAAGGCAAGGAUGGAAAUGGCCGCUGACAGGGAUGGUCAGAUCUGCUCACUUGGGAUUCCUAAAGGCAACAGACGAUUGUGAAAUAAAUGGUCAAAAGCACCGUGAUUGCCUUUCCUUUGAAUUCUGUGUUACCAAUAAGUAGGAUUCUUCUUCCACUUUAACAUGUAUUUUGAAAAGUGGUUGUUGAUACUUAUUCUUCUAAAGAUAAGGCAUAGCCAUUCAGAGCACUAUUUUUUUCCUGCUUAAUUUUGCUCCUUAAUGCAAACUGCAAGCUUCUUAAAGUCAGGUUACUUUGUUUUGUGUCCCUCUUUCCCCUUACAUUCUUUUACCCUUAGUAUUUACCAUAAUGUAAGGUAACACAUAAGCACCUUAUCCAUUUAAAAUUUAGUUUAGUAGAGAAGCAGAGGGUGUGUGUGUGUGAGAGAGAGAGAGAGAGAGAGAGCUCCCAUUCAGAUGGAAGAUGAGUGUCUUAACUGAAGGCUUAGCUGCUAGGCUAAGUACGCCCCCUAUUCAUUAUUUAAUAGAGCAGUUAUUGAACAUCUACUAUGUGUCAGCAUGAUGAUAUGUGUUGACGAUUCCGUGGUUAACAAAAUACAGUAUUUUACUAAAUGUGGGAACAUACAAGUGAGGUAAAGAGACAAUAAAAAGAAGGUACAUACAGUGUUUUAAUAGAAAAAUAAAGAGUAUUAGGGGAGUUAUGUUGAGGAUGGGAGAGAUUAGAAAGGCUCUUUGAAGGAAGUGAUAUCUAAUUUAAGACUAGCAGGUUCAAAGGACAACAAAAUUGAAGAUUUCACAGAAAUACUUUGUUAGAGUUCAAAGACUGCUAGAGUUCGAUGUACUGGGAAAACAGUGCACAUGAUUUUUCCAGUGUUUAAAAAUGCUUGGGCAAGUUUGUUCUGGAAGUGGACAGGCACGUGUAGAGGAGAGAUGAGAUUUGAAGAGAUGGGGUGAACAUGCAGAAGAAAGGGUAGAAUCUGAGUGGAUGCUCGUGUUGAAGCCUUAUAUGUGCAGUGCCUAACACUCCUGUUCUGAAGAGUUUGGAGCUGGUGUGGAGCUGGACACAGAAGUCACAUACAGCUGGGAGCAUUACAUUUGUUAAUACUAAAACUUGGGGAGAGCGCUGUGGCAUAGUGGGUACAGCCACCGCCUGCAGUGCUGGCAUCCCAUACGGGCGCCAGUUCGAGUCUCAGCUGCUCCACUUCUGACUCAGCUCUCUGCUGUAGCCUGGGAAAGCAGUGGAAGAUGGCACAAGUCCUUGGGCCUCUACACCUAUGUGGGAGAUCUAGAGGAAACUCCUGACUCCUGGCUUCGGACUGGUGCAUCUUUGGCAGUUGCCAAAUGGGGAGUAAACCAGCAGAUGGAAGACCUCUCUCUCUUUCUCUCUCUGCUUCUCUUGCUGUAUGUGACUCUUUCAAAUAAAUAAAUAUAAAUCUUUAAAAAAUAGCAAAGCUGAUCAAAGAACUUGGUUUUAUUUCUUUUGUAGAACUUAAAAAUAAAGUUUCAUGUAUAUACAGAUUUAGGAACAUAGUGAUCCUUCCCACCCUUCCCUCCCUCCCACCCAUGUUCCAACCCUUCUUCCUCAUCCCUCUCCCAUUCCCAGUCUUAAUUUUAUGAAGAUCUACUUUGAGUUUACUUAGUGAUCAUAAACUUAACCCUACACUAAGUAAUGAGGUCAGCAAAUAGUAUUAAGAGAAAAAAAUACUGUUCCUCAACAGAAGAGACAAGGGGCUGUAAACAAUCACUGAAUCUCAAAGUGCCCAUUUCACUUCAAUACAUUACAUUUUAGUUACUCUGUUGGUUAUCUUGGAUCAGGGAAAGCAUAUGGCAGGUCUUUUUGGGACUGGCUUAUUUCAUUAGAUAUAAUGGUUUCCAGUUGCAUCCAUUUUGUUGCAAGGGACAGGAUUUCAUUAUUUUUACAGCUGAGUAAAUAGUGUAUAUGUACCAUGAUUUCUUUGUCCAGUCAACAGUUGAUGGACAUCUGGGUUGAUUCCAUAUCUUAGUUAUUGUGAAUUGAGCUGCAGUGAACACGAGAGUAGAGAUCAUUCUUUCUUAUACUGAUUUCUUUCAGUUUGGGUAAAUUCCCAGGAGUGAGAUGGCUGGGUCAUGUGGUAGGUCUAUACUCAGCUAUCUGAGGUAUCUCCACACUGUCUCCCACAAUGGCUGGACCUUUUUAUAGUCCCACCAACAGUGGAUUAGGGUACCUUUUCCCCCACAUCCUCGUCAGCAUUUGUUGUUUGUUGAUUUCUGUAUGAGAGCUAUUCUAACUGGGUUGAGGUGAAACCUCAUUGUGGUUUUGAUUUGCGUUUCCCUGAUGGCUAGUGAUGCUGAGCAUUUUUUCAUGUGUUGACCAUUUAGAUUUUCUCUCUUGAAAAAUGCCUGUUGAAAAUUGAAAAAUGCCUCUUUUGCCCAUUUCUUUUUUUAACUUUUAUUUAAUAAAUAUAAAUUUAGAAAGUAUAACUUUUGGAUUAUAGCAG